GUAUUGGCGCGCCUCAAUCCGAAGGCGUGGCUGAUAGAUUGGCGCGGCAGCCAUGUUCUUGGAUUGAGCCGCGUCAAUAUCU